UGAAUACUGGAACUACUGUUCCAUUGAAGUCACAUUCUGUUGUUGGUUGAUCAGGGACAGGCAAUAUUAUAUGAAUGAUAUAAACAUGUAGGAUCAUCUAUGAUUUGUGAUGGGAGAUGACUUUUUAUCUUAAAAGUUCUGCUUUUUUUUCUAUCUCAACACAGUGAGUGCAUGGAUAUAACUCAUAUUUCAUUGCAAAUCAAGAACAUUUUCCUUUUAUUAUGUCUCUGAGAUGUAAGUAAACUAAAGUUUUAAUAAUUUGCUUACAAUUCAUUGUGAUGUCAGUUACAGUGUGAUAUCAUUGGUUUAUUAUUUAUUAUUCAUUAUUUCAUGAGCGAUAUUUACUGUAUAUUUACCAUACUUGAUAAUUUGUGCAUUUAAUUUGUUGAUAAGUUGUUACAGAUCAGUCAACAGUUUUGGGAUUAUUCAUAUGCAUUGUAUAUAUGCAUAUUAAAAUAGAUCUAAAUUGUUAGUUUUAAGCAGUGGGUGAAUGAAAUUUUCCUAAUAUUUAACCAUUAAUCCUGAAUUGAAUAUUAUGCUUUUAAAAUUGAAUUAAAGUCUCUAAAGCCACAGCUGUAUAUGGAGACUGAUCAGCACAUUUAUUCAUCAAGAAUUCAUGUAUUUUUCUUACAAAGAGGAGCAUGAAAAUAAUUUGCUUUUACAUUAUGAUGAUUAAUAGAAAAAAGCAAUAUACAAAUAUACCUGUACUAUUUUUUUUUAAUAAUGCAGGGACUUAGUAUGAUAAGGAUCAAUUCUAUCCUCCACAAUAAUUCUGCAAUCAGGAUGUUUUGAGUAACUAUGUUAGAUUGUUGUCAUUUAGAAGAGAAGACGUGAGGUAUGUAUUUCAUUGUUUGCAAUCACAAGCAGAAUAUGACAAGAAAAAUAAUAAAUUUUUAUAUUUCGGCAUACUCUUAGAAGCAGAUGAUUGGCAAACUGAAAGAAAGUGUUUAAUGAAAUCAAAUUUCCCUUUCCUGUGUCAAAUUGAAAAUUUGUUGAAUUUUGAGGCUAUGAGCAUGAACAUUUGUAGAUUUAGAAGUUAUGUAUGAGUACAAUCAUACUUCAUUCAUUUACUUAUACAUAUUAAUAGUACUCUUAUACCGGUAAUUAAGUGAGACUUCUCUUGUUGAAUGUUGUUAUCAAUUUCUACUUGUUAGAAAGUUGAUUUAUUUUCAAUGGAAAAUAAAUGUAUUUUU
rnacentral:sRNA from 1 species